UGGCUGCUCCCCAGUCCUCCCCACUGCAGACAAACGGAGGUCUGUGGCCGUUUUUAACAUUGUGAACUGGUUUAUCAUCAGAAGGAAAAUAAAAAGGUAUUUUAUACGAUGCAUCAGGUAAAAAGCUCACCUCUGGUUUUAUUUGUUGCCUUAUUAUGGAUGGUGGGCUGCUGCAGCGCUGAAGAGUCAACGGACUGUGGUGAAAGUGGUGAACUUUGCCAACAGAAAAAGUUAGAUUUUUUCAGUAACUCCACCAACGUCACUGACUUUGCUUAUGGUUUGACUGCAAACAUGGCUGCUGUGGUGUUGUAUGGCAGCACCUUUGUUCCAGUUAAAAGAAUAGAAACUGGGGAUGGUAUGUUCUAUCACUGGGUGAGCUGCGCGUCCAUAUGGAUUGUGUCUCUGCUCGGAGAAAUUGUGUUUCAGUCUCCCAAAUUCCACCCCAUCGCGAUGCUCGGAGGAUUUAUCUGGGCCACAGGAAGUAUAACGGUUGUUACCAUUGUGAAAGCGAUUGGCCUUGGUCUUGGAAUUUUAAUCUGGGGAUCUUCCAGUUUGUUGAUGGGCUGGGCCAGUUCAAGAUUCGGCUGGUUUGGGAUCGACCCUCAGGAUGUUUCCAAGCCGAUACUGAAUUAUUGUGGUGCUGGGUUGUGUCUGAUCAGUGGCCUGAUCUUUUUCUUUGUGAAAAGCGAUGUGGGUCGACAUUCRCAGUCAGAAACGACUCCUUUACUUCUCGACAGAAGAACCAUUUCAGGAAGUUAUGGACGACAUUCCUCUGAAUACUGGAUAGAUGCUAUUGGACCAAGGAACAGGCGAAUUAUCGGUUGCGUGCUUGCUGUUGUAUCUGGCCUGUUGUAUGGAUCCUCCUUUGUGCCCAUCCUCUACAUAAAGAACCAUUCAUCGUGYCCUGACAGCAUAUUUUACAAAGCCAGUGUCUACGAUCUUGACUAUGUCCAUGCACAGACUUCAGGAGUUUUUGUUGGAAGCACAUUGUAUUUUAUUAUCUACUGUGCAGCCAUGAAAAGCAAACCCAGGGUUUAUUCUAGAGCCAUCCUKCCAGGGUUUUUGUCUGGAUUGAUGUGGACAGUUGGGACAUACUGCUGGUUUCUGGCCAAUAACUAUCUGACUUCUGUCAUUACCUUUCCCCUCGUCACUGCAGGUUACGGUCUAGUUGCUGCGCUGUGGGGAUCSUUGGUGUUUAAAGAAAUUAAGGGUGCUGUAAACUGCUCCAUCUUCUUCCUGGCAUCAUGUGUGGUGCUGGCUGGCUCUUUGCUGACUGUCUUUUCAAAGUUUUGAGGCAGCAGAGCACUGAAUAAUCAGGCUAUUUGUCUAGAAAGUCAUGUUUUCCUUCAUUAAAUGAAUAUGCCAUGUUUUAAAAAUAAUAAAAUGGAAUCUUUUUAGAUAAAAGGUAAAAUGUGGGACACUUAAAUAUGUAAAAAAAAUGGCAUUUAAUAGUAUAUUUGACAUUAGAAAAGUUUUAGUCUUUUUGUAUUUGGUUGAUUCAAACAAAUCACAUGUUAACGUUGUUCACAACUUGGAUGAGGGAUUGUUUCACAAAGUUCUGAAAAUCUCUUUAUUCAAAGGUGAGGAGGUGGUUUGCAUCAGCACUUUUUUACUUUUUGUAAGCUUUGACUGAAAAUUAAACUAUUUCUGACGCCA